CAGUCGCCGCGGGAAUACGGAGGGAGCUAGCGUUGUUCGGAAUCACUGGGCGUAAAGCGCACGUAGGCGGCUAUUCAAGUCAGGGGUGAAAGCCCGGGGCUCAACCCCGGAACUGCCUUUGAAACUAGAUAGCUUGAAUCUUGGAGAGGCGAGUGGAAUUCCGAGUGUAGAGGUGAAAUUCGUAGAUAUUCGGAAGAACACCAGUAGCGAAGGCGACUCGCCGGACAAGUAUUGACGCUGAGGUGCGAAAGCGUGGGGAGCAAACAGGAUUAGAUACCCCUGUAGUCCCUGUCUCUUAUAC
rnacentral:rRNA from 1 species